AUUGAACGCUGGCGGCAGGCUUAACACAUGCAAGUCGAGCGGGGGAAGGUAGCUUGCUACCGGACCUAGCGGCGGACGGGUGAGUAAUGCUUAGGAAUCUGCCUAUUAGUGGGGGACAACAUCUCGAAAGGGAUGCUAAUACCGCGUACGUCCUACGGGAGAAAGCAGGGGAUCUUCGGACCUUGCGCUAAUAGAUGAGCCUAAGUCGGAUUAGCUAGUCGGUGGGGUAAAGGCCUACCAAGGCGACGAUCUGUAGCGGGUCUGAGAGGAUGAGCCGCCACACUGGGACUGAGACACGGCCCAGACUCCUACGGGAGGCAGCAGUGGGGAAUAUUGGACAAUGGGGGGAACCCUGAUCCAGCCAUGCCGCGUGUGUGAAGAAGGCCUUAUGGUUGUAAAGCACUUUAAGCGAGGAGGAGGCUACUCUAGUUAAUACCUAGGGAUAGUGGACGUUACUCGCAGAAUAAGCACCGGCUAACUCUGUGCCAGCCGCCGCCGUAA
rnacentral:rRNA from 1 species